GAAAACUAAACGACACUUCCCAGUUUCAACUUCAUGCCUCAGUGAAUUUCUCUGCAAUUUUGCUCCCAAAAAUUUCAUCUCUCGCCAUUGCCGUAGGAGAGCACUUCAAUUUUCUCUCCAAUAAGACAAUUCGUUCUUUCCCUUCUCAAUUUCCGGCGAGUUCUCCCAAUCUGUAAUUUGCCCCCACUCUCUCUAUUCAUCUUACUGUUACCAGAAAGUUGGAAUAUCCUCCCUCUUCAAUUUCUCGUAAGAUUCAUCGAUCACGAACUUAUAUUGAUUUCGCUAUUCUUACACUGAUCUUAUUUUUCAGUCGAUUUUGUUCUGCAACAUUUAUCGCUUCCAGAAUCCAGAUCUGGAUGGACAUGAACCAUCGUUUGCAUUUGGGGCAACCUUGAUUUGGGUUUUGAAGUGCUUUAUGGAAACUGGGGUCUCUAAAUUUUUAAAUUUUUGUCUAAUGACGAGUGGCGUGCCUAGAUUUGAGUAACUGGGUCGCUGCUACAGUUGUGGAAGUUUGAGAAUUGGGCUUCGAUUUGUUUGAGGAAGUUUGUCGGGUCGGCGUCAUGUUCUAUGGUUCGGUGGUAUGGGACCCUUGGCUUAUUGUUGCUCAGAUUGUGUGUCUUCAAUGUUUGUACUAUAUCACCCUGGGGUUGUUCUUGUCGAUACUUGUUGGCACACGUGUGUCUCGGUUGAGUCUCGUGUAUUUCUUUGACUAUGUUGCGAUUACUACCUCUACCGUUACUGGUUGGUGUGUUAUUGCUUCGUUUCUGCUCAGCUCAGUUGCAGGGGCGGUAUAUGUGUUUUGUUUGAUUGAAAGAUCAAAGAAGUGCUUGGAUUUUUCAGCCACAGUCUACAUUGUCCAUCUUUUUAUAUGCAUUGUGUAUGGGGGUUGGCCCUCAUCUAUAACAUGGUGGAUUGUGAAUGGUACUGGAAUUGCAGUGAUGGCUUUGCUCGGUGAACGUCUGUGCAUGAAGCGUGAACUCCAGGAGAUAUCAUUGACACGAUUUCGGUCAAGAGUCUGAAAACGAGUAGUGGGUGAUUUGGGGAGCAAUUGAAAGGCAAAAUAGUCUAACAGAAUAUGUACAUCAAAUGGGGAUGUUUGAUUGGUAGAAGGUACUUUUGAAUACAAGAAACAAGUGCUGCAGGAUGGCAACUACUUUUGCUUCUAUAUAUUGGAUGAUCAUGAUCUUCAAGAUGAAGCCCACGAAGUGAAUAGUUCUAUUCUGCCAUUGAAAGACCUGCAUUUAUUUUCUAUUCUUUAGUUGGAAUAGAAUUGAAACAUAUAUAACCAGACGAGACUAAGUAUAUAAUUUUACAGGAAUUUCCGGAAGUCUUAUUGUAAUUUUAUUCUUUUUACCCUUUUGUGAGUUUUCGGAUCUGUUUACAAUCUCAUAUGUUACCUCUUUCUAUCCCAUUACUUUUAAUGAGGUUGUUAUAUCAGGUAGCAGAAUGAACCUCUUAGUCAGAUUUGUUUUGUUAAUUUCUUUAUUGAUUGAUAAAUUUGCACAACAUCUUGUGGUUGAUCUUCCUA